GGGUGCGGGGCCGCUUGCUUCUUGUUGGCGGCGCCGCAGGUUCAUGCGAUGGUCGGGCCGCCACG
rnacentral:ncRNA from 15 species